AGUGAACGCUGGCGGUAGGCCUAACACAUGCAAGUCGAACGGCAGCACAGUAAGAGCUUGCUCUUACGGGUGGCGAGUGGCGGACGGGUGAGGAAUACAUCGGAAUCUACUUUUUCGUGGGGGAUAACGUAGGGAAACUUACGCUAAUACCGCAUACGACCUACGGGUGAAAGCAGGGGAUCUUCGGACCUUGCGCGAUUGAAUGAGCCGAUGUCGGAUUAGCUAGUUGGCGGGGUAAAGGCCCACCAAGGCGACGAUCCGUAGCUGGUCUGAGAGGAUGAUCAGCCACACUGGAACUGAGACACGGUCCAGACUCCUACAGGAGGCAGCAGUGGGGAAUAUUGGACGAUGGGCGCAAGCCUGAUCCAGCCAUACCGCGUGGGUGAAGAAGGCCUUCGGGUUGGAAAGCCCUUUUGUUGGGAAAGAAAAGCAGCAGGUUAAUACCCCGCUGUUCUGACGGUACCCAAAGAAUAAGCACCGGCUAACUUCGUG
rnacentral:rRNA from 1 species